GAUGAACGCUGGCGGCGUGCUUAACACAUGCAAGUCGAACGGAAAGGCUCCUGCUUGCAGGGGUACUCGAGUGGCGAACGGGUGAGUAACACGUGGGUGAUCUGCCCUGUACUUCGGGAUAAGCUUGGGAAACUGGGUCUAAUACCGGAUAGGACAACUUUUUGGAUAUUGUUGUGGAAAGCUUUUGCGGUAUGGGAUGAGCUCGCGGCCUAUCAGCUUGUUGGUGGGGUAAUGGCCUACCAAGGCGUCGACGGGUAGCCGGCCUGAGAGGGUGUACGGCCACAUUGGGACUGAGAUACGGACCAGACUCCUAGGGGAGGCAGCAGUGGGGAAUAUUGCACAAGGGGCGCAAGCCUGAUGCAGCGACGCCGCGUGGGGGAUGAAGGCCUUCGGGUUGUAAACUCCUUUCGCUAGGGACGAAGCGUUUUUGUGACGGUACCUGGAGAAGAAGCACCGGCUAACUACGUG
rnacentral:rRNA from 1 species